UUAACACAUGCAAGUCGAGCGAAUUUCAGCAGUGUAUCGCUGAAGUUAGCGGCAGACGGGUGAGUAAUACUUGGGCAAUCUGCCCUUGAGAGGGAAACAACCGGCCGAAAGGCUGGCUAAUGUCCCAUAAGACCACAGGAAUGCAUAUUCCAGAGGUCAAAGCUCCGCAAGGGGCGCUUGAGGAGGAGCCCGAGUCCUGUCAGCUAGUUGGUGAGGUAACGGCUCACCAAGGCUUUGACGGGUAGCCGGCCUGAAAGGGUGAUCGGCCACACUGGCACUGAGACACGGGCCAGACUCCUACGGGAGGCAGCAGUGGGGAAUUUUGGACAAUGGGGGCAACCCUGAUCCAGCGACGCCGCGUGAAGGAUGAAGGCCUUCGGGUUGUAAACUUCUUUUAGAGGGGAUGAAUGCCUACGUGAAUAACGUAGGGUGACAGUACUCUUUGAAUAAGCCACGGCUAACUACGUGCCAGCAGCCGCGGUAAUACGUAGGUGGCAAGCGAUACUCGGAAUCACUAGGCGUAAAGCGCAGGUAGGUGGUUUGGUAAGUCUUUUGUGAAAGCUCCCGGCUUAACUGGGAGAGGUCAAAGGAAACUACCAGACUAGAGUUUGGUAGGGGAUACUGGAAUUCCUGGUGUAGCGGUGAAAUGCGUAGAUAUCAGGAGGAAUACCUAUGGCGAAAGCAGGUAUCUGGGCCAUAACUGACACUGAGCUGCGAAAGCUAGGGGAGCAAACAGGAUUAGAUACCCUGGUAGUCCUAGCCCUAAACGAUGUUCAUUAGAUGUGGGAGGUAUCGACCCCUUUCGCGUCGCAGCUUAGGCAUUUAAUGAACCGCCUGGGGAGUA
rnacentral:rRNA from 1 species